AACGAACGCUGGCGGCAGGCUUAACACAUGCAAGUCGAGCGCCCCGCAAGGGGAGCGGCAGACGGGUGAGUAACGCGUGGGAAUCUACCCAGCUCUACGGAAUAACUCAGGGAAACUUGUGCUAAUACCGUAUACGUCCGAUAGGAGAAAGAUUUAUCGGAGUUGGAUGAGCCCGCGUUGGAUUAGCUAGUUGGUGGGGUAAUGGCCUACCAAGGCGACGAUCCAUAGCUGGUCUGAGAGGAUGAUCAGCCACACUGGGACCGAGACACGGCCCAGACUCCUACGGGAGGCAGCAGUGGGGAAUAUUGGACAAUGGGCGCAAGCCUGAUCCAGCCAUGCCGCGUGAGUGAUGAAGGCCCUAGGGUUGUAAAGCUCUUUCACCGGUGAAGAUAAUGACGGUACCCGGAGAAGAAGCCCCGGCUAACUUCGUGCCAGCAGCCCGCGGUAAUACGA
rnacentral:rRNA from 1 species